rnacentral:rRNA from 1 species
CCUACGGGAGGCAGCAGUGAGGAAUAUUGGUCAAUGGGCGCGAGCCUGAACCAGCCAAGUAGCGUGAAGGAUGACUGCCCUACGGGUUGUAAACUUCUUUUAUAAAGGAAUAAAGUGCGGCACGUGUGCCUUUUUGUAUGUACUUUAUGAAUAAGGAUCGGCUAACUCCGUGCCAGCAGCCGCGGUAAUACGGAGGAUCCGAGCGUUAUCCGGAUUUAUUUGGUUUAAAGGGAGCGUAGAUGGGUUGUUAAGUAAGUUGUGAAAGUUUGCGGCUCACCCGUAAAAUUGCAAUGGAUACUGGCAGCCUUGAGUACAGUGGAGGUAGGCGGAAUUCGUGGUGUAGCGGGGAAAUGCUUAGAUAUCACGAAGAACUCCGAUUGCGAAGGCAGCUUACGAAACUGCCACUGACAUUGAUGCACGAAAGCGUGGGGAUCAAACAGGAUUAGAUACCCCUGUAGUC